AGACACUCACCCGCCCGGAAUGCAGCCGCGACACACAGCAGACACCGGCGCGGGGUGUAGCGAAUUUGGAGCAUUUGGAGCCUUGGGGCAACUGUAGCAUUGAAGCAGAAGACUACAAAAAUCAACACACACUCGUAAUUUGUUUUGUUUAUUGUAUGUGUAGAAUUUACAUAAUACAUUUUUUAUUUGCAA